rnacentral:rRNA from 1 species
UACGUAGGGUGCAAGCGUUAAUCGGAAUUACUGGGCGUAAAGCGUACGCAGGCGGCUUUGCAAGACAGGUGUGAAAUCCCCGGGCCUAACCUGGGAACUGCAUUUGUGACUGCAUGGCUAGAGUUUGUCAGAGGGGGGUGGAAUUCCACGUGUAUCAGUGAAAUGCGUAGAUAUGUGGAGGAACACCGAUGGCGAAGGCAGCCCCCUGGGAUGUGACUGACGCUCAUGUACGAAAGCGUGGGGAGCAAACAGG